rnacentral:misc_RNA from 1 species
GAUGAAGAACGCAGCGAAAUGCGAUAAGUAAUGUGAAUUGCAGAAUUCAGUGAAUCAUCGAAUCUUUGAACGCACAUUGCGCCCCCUGGUAUUCCGGGGGGCAUGCCUGUCCGAGCGUCAUUACAACCCUCAAGCUCAGCUUGGUAUUGGGCCCCGCCGCUUCGGCGGGCCCUAAAGUCAGUGGCGGUGCCGUCCGGCUCCGAGCGUAGUAAUUCUUCUCGCUCUGGAGGCCCGGUCGUGUGCUUGCCAGCAACCCCCAAUUUUUUUCAGGUUGACCUCGGAUCAGGUAGGGAUACCCGCUGAACUUAAGCAUAUCAAUAAGCGGAGGA